UUAGAACUCUGGCUGCCCUUAGAGAGGAGAACAUUUUGCUGUGGGCGGGCAGGCAGGCAGGCAACAUUGCUUGGCUGAGUUACUGCGUGGGAACAUCUUGCAGAGCGAAUAAAAGGAACAGCGUACUCGGCAUGCAGCAGAUGCAUGGAGGGACAGAAGAGGAUGGGCAAAGAACAGCUGGCAGCAGGUGGAACCAGCACCCUGAAGAGCCUGAAGAUGCCUCUUUGUGAGUGGGAGCAGCAAGCAGCAGCAUGCCCAGCUCCACCGCGGGGAACAUGGUGUCAGCGCACAGCUCGGUGCAUGGAGCCCAGACCCUCGGAGCCAUCUGAGGCGGCUUAGGUCUGCAACCCCCCCAGUGUGAGGCUGGAAAUCCAGAGCCAGCAGCAUGAUGUAGUGUGGCACAGUCCAGAGGGACCCUGACCUCUCGAGGUGGCUUGGGUCCACCCUUUCCUGGCACACGGCCAGGACUCCCGGGCACACUUGUGCACGGCUGCUCCCAGGCAGGGACCUGGGCCUGGGAGCCACAGAAGGCAGCCCUAGCCCCCAGCUGAGAGCAGAAGGCGGAGCUCUCAGUGCACGGGGCCACCUGUGGGAAUCGGCCCAAAGAGAGCCCGUGGCCUGGGAGGAGCGCCUCAGUCGAGGGGACGAGUACCACCCAUGCAUGCCCACAGAGUCGUGAGUUGUUGAGGAAUGGAUU